CCCGACGCUCAGACCACAGUGACCCUAGAGUCCUACUGCAGGAGAAACAACCAUGGCUGACCUGUCGAGCACAUCUAUUUGGGUUAAAGUGUGUCUAAUCCUCAUUCCUUUGGGCGGAUUGCUCCAUUUAAUAGGUUACGCAUCACCAUAUUGGGUCAAAGUAGGAAUAGACCACAGUGGACUCUGGCGAACUUGUACUACAAUCUGCGUUGAUUAUCUAGACUAUCAAGAAUCGCUGGCGGGCUGGUUACGCGCGACCCAGUUCUUUGAGACAGUCGGGUUGAUCGCCAUUGCCGCAGCAGCUGUCCUUCUGUUCCUGUCAAUCUUCGUGCAGGCGUUCAAGGACAAGAAGAUCAUCACAAUCAUCAACGCCUUAGCCUGCUUCGGUGCAUGUGGAACAAUCAUCAUCGGUGCGAUCAUCUACGGCAGUCGGUAUCUCGUGGUAGACUACCUUAGCUGGGCUUUCGCGCUGUGCAUUGUGGGGGCAAUAAUGGAGGGCGUGGCAGGCGCGUUAAUCAUAGUGGGAACGUUCGCUGCCAGAAGAACAUAAGCGAUAAGACCAGCCGGAGAAGUCUAAAAGUUAUAUGUCAAAAUGAUAGAGAGGAACAUUUCAUGCCUUUGUGUUAAAGGAUAUGUGGAUAAAACAACGUGUGACUGGGAAUACGUUUAACUCUAAUAUCAAGUGUUCUGUAAAAUGUACAGUUGACUAGGAGUUACGGCAGUUUUAUGGCAUGUUUCUUGUAGACAUUUACCGGCCGAGAGCCUGCCCCGAACACAACAUUGUAUCUGUAUUUGUAUUUGUAUUUGAAGUAGUAGUAGUCGUAGUAGUGGUAGAAGUGGUAGAAAAUAGAGA
rnacentral:misc_RNA from 1 species